CCAAGAUUGAAAGCUGGCGUCUUCGGCGUCCGCAUUGUAAUCUCAAGAAGUGUUUUCCGCUUCGGACCAAGCCUAAGUCCCUUGGAAAAGGGCAUCAUAGAGGGUGAUAAUCCCGUACAUGGCUUGGAGCGCCCGAGGCUUUGUGAUACGCUUUCUAAGAGUCGAGUUGUUUGGGAAUGCAGCUCAAAAUGGGUGGUAAAUGCCAUCUAAGGCUAAAUAUUGGGGAGAGACCGAUAGCGAACAAGUACAGUGAUGGAAAGAUGAAAAGAACUUUGAAAAGAGAGUUAAACAGUACGUGAAAUUGCCAAAAGGGAAGGGUAGGAGGUCAGAGAUGCGGCCUGGGAUUCAGCCUUGCUUUUGCUUGGUGUUUUUCCCAGAUUGCAGGCCAACGUCGGUUUUGGGCACUGGAGAAGGGUAGGAGGAACGUGGCACCCCUCGGGGUGUGUUAUAGCCUCCUACUGGAUACAGCGACCGAGACCGAGGACAGCAGCGUACUCGUAAGAGCGGGCCCUCGGGCACCUUUACGCUUAGGGCGUUGGCAUAAUGGCCCUCUACCACCCGUCU
rnacentral:rRNA from 1 species